rnacentral:tRNA from 1 species
GAGGGGAGAACUCAGUGGUAGAGUGCAUGCUUAGCAUGCACGAGGUCCUGGGUUCGAUCCCCAGUACUGCCA